GACGCCCCCAGGUCCUAGAGCGCAACUCCAGUUCACCGCGGGGUGCUGGGCCCCCCACAGGCGAGUCUGUGUGACGGGGCUGCGUUCUUGAAGCGUCCGUCCGCACCACGGCCUGGAGUCUAGGGAGCCGUCAGCGCACUGGACCGGGACAGAAGCUAGGGAUCAUACGAGGCGCCCUUCUGGUUUCCUUGGAGAAUCGCAUGCCAAGUGGAGAGGCUCAAGGGCAGAACUAAAGGGACAAAAGCUGGCCCAGUCAGCCCCAGGCCAUCAGGACUUCCUACGUGUUCAGCUGCUUGUGACUGAGAGCCCGGAGACUGCGGAGGUCUCAGGGUGGGCGGGGCCCCAGUGACAGCAAGUGCCCAGUAUCUUAACGCAGGCUUCAAACUCACCAGUCUCCUAGGGCACCUUAAAGGGUAGGGCAGGGAGAGAGGCCACUUGGCCCACUCAGGCCAGGUCUCCGGGCUGCAGGUCCUCCUGAUCAGGGUUGAUGAGUGGAUGAGAGGAGCCGGGUGAGCCCAUAAUGGACACGUCUCCAUUUGAGUACCCCAAGAUAGGCUCCUGUGAGAGCCAGGCAGUGACGACCUGGAGCAGGCCCUGGCACGGGCCCUCCAAAGGGGAAGUAAUCUCUGCCUAGUUCCCAGCUGCCCCAUCCAGCCCUUUCAGGUUCCAAAGGGUUACAACUCUGGCCCUGAUUUUUGGAGACCCUGCCUUGACAUUGUACCUGUGAAUGGCCCUCCUGGAAGUCGGCCACUUUGAGGAAGAGAAUUCUUCCUGCACCAGGCAGAAUUCCCUCCAGCAGUCUGUUACACAAGAGGCCCGCAUGGAGACUACUGACAGUCUCACAGGUUCACUUGUCCCGGCUUGCAGGAAUGUAGCCCCAUCGGGCCAGGUUCGUUUCACUGAGCCCUGGGUCUGAGGGCGAAGCCCUGCUGUGGACCUUCUGAUGAACAUAAAUGCAUCCUGACCACAACCAGCCAAGAGCCCUCCCUGGAUCCUGCCAGCUCUGUGGUCCCUGAUGAAGAUGUAGCUCUCAGCCCUGAUGAUGCAGCUCCCGUGCCCUGCCUGCCUGCCUGCCGCUCAACUCCCUAUCAUACUGUUCAUAGACUUACCCUCUGAAACUACAGCCAAUCCUCCAAUUAAAUGUUUUCUUCUUUAA
rnacentral:lncRNA from 1 species